rnacentral:misc_RNA from 1 species
GUAAUGUCCCUUAUUAUAUAUAAAUUCAUAAAAAAUCGCAUAAUGCGAUACGCUUAGAGCUUGAAUUAUUAAAUGCGACGACAAAGCUAAGGGAAAGACUGAGAAUAACAACAUUACGAAGAAAUACUAAGGCUUACUUUACUUGAUGUUCAUUAACAACUCUGAGCAACAGAGCGAGAUGAAUAAUACCGCAGUGCUAAAAAU